rnacentral:rRNA from 1 species
AUUGAACGCUGGCGGCAUGCCUAACACAUGCAAGUCGAGCGGAUGAAGGGAGCUUGCUCCUGGAUUCAGCGGCGGACGGGUGAGUAAUGCCUAGGAAUCUGCCUGGUAGUGCGGGAUAACGUCCGUAAACGGGCGCUAAUACCGCAUACGUCCUGAGGGAGAAAGUGGGGGAUCUUCGGACCUCACGCUAUCAGAUGAGCCUGGGUCGGCUUAGCUAGUUGGUGGGGUAAAGGCCUACCAAGGCGACGAUCCGUAACUGGUCUGAGAGGAUGAUCAGUCAUACUGGAACUGGAAGACGGUCCAGACUCCGACGGGAGGCAGCAGUGGGGUACAAUGGACAAUGGGCGAAAGCCUGAUCCAGCCAUGGGGCGUGGGUGAAGAAGGUCUUCGGAUGGUAAAGCAGUUGAAGUUGGGAGGAAGGGCAGUAAGUUAAGACCUUGCUGUUUUGACGGUACCAAAAGAAUAAGCACCGGCUAACUUCGUG